CAAGUGUUGGCCUUAACUCCUGGGCAAAUGGAGUUCUAUUCAGAAACCCCCCUCCUCCAUCUGUAUGUUAUAGAGUACUGCUUGUGUUUUCUUCCAGAAGAUUUAGCGUUUCGGACUUCAAAUUGAGAUCAUAAAUAUGAUGUCUAGCAUCCAUCUUAUCCUUGAGGCAAAACACCAAAGACAAAAGAAGAAUACACCAAAGCUGUCAGCUUAGACAGAGGAGUCUUGCAAUGCCUUUCCACCUCUAUUAUAUUUGACACUUAGGAUUCUUGUAAAGUGUCAGUAAAUGUCCUAUUGCUACAAGCUCUCUUAGCUAAGUUCUCUGUAUCCCAGAAACAAAACAUCAACUCUAACUUACGUGUGUGGAUGCUGUGUUUCUAAGAAUGUGACAAACAUUCUUGUGAAGUUCAUAUCCUCAGAGAAAGACAUUCCACGACCAAAAGUAAAGAUUUUCCAGAGCUAUAAAAAAAAGAAUAAAGCAGAGCAGAGAACUGCAGAGUGAAAGCCAAA